GGCUGGGCAGUGUUUGCAAAGACUGUCACUGUGUCUGGCAUAUAUAAGUAAGCGAUAGAGAAAUUAAAGUACAACCACAUGGUUGUUUUUCCCCCCAUGUUAGUGAUGGAACCCACUGCCCUGUGCAUGCAACGUGAGCGACAUACCACUGAGCUGUACCCCAACCCCUCACUUAGUUUAAAAUAUACCCCACGUGGAGAAUGAUGGUCACCAGGCUGGGCACAGCUAAUCAAACCAAAGCCUCAGUCCUGGUACCCAAGAAUUACCAGCACUUAAGUCUAUGAGAGGGUCGGUCCUGCCCUGUCUGCCAUGGCUCCUCCAUACCGCCUUCACACUGGCAUCUGAAAGACUCUGCGAUCAGACAUAAAGCGGUAAGAGAAAAAGAUGAAGGGAAAUGCCUGAGGUUGAAACUGCAGGGCAGCCUCUUCUAGGAAGAUGUGGGUAAUGCUGAUUGUUUGUUUGUUUGUUGUUGUUUUGGUCUUUUGAGAUAAGGCUUCUCUAUGUCGCUCUGGCUGGCCUUGAACUCAGAAAUUCACCUGCCUCUGCCUCCCAAGUGCUGGGAGUAAAGGUGUGCGCCACCACACUUGACCCUUAUACAUGCUUGUUCUGAGAAUUGUUAGGGAUUGAACCUGGAGCCUCAGGCAUGGGAAACAUGUGCUGAACCCCUAAGCUGCACCCUCUUUGUGAAUGGUAAAUGUAGGAGAGAGAGAGAGAGAGAGAGAGAGAGAGAGAGAGAGAGAGAGAGAGAGAGCACAAUAAGUAUCCAUGAGCAGGUGGCUCAGAUGCCUGAAGGUCUUUGAAGUUCACCCCUGCAGCAUCCUCUGAAGAGCAGUGAGAACCCCAGAUGUGACCAUCUAAGGCUUUAGCAACCAAUGAAAAUCCUGAAUAUACCUCAGGCACCUACAGCCCAGGGGCAAAGACGUGCAGGCAGAGACCAACUCAUGCCUCUGGCUAUUACUGGCAGUUUGAGAAUUCCAGAUGGCAAGAGUGAUCGAUAAUGGAAAAAAAUGGGUAGCUUUAAAAUUUAUUAUAAUGAGUAUUUAUGCUUACCAAGCAGAAAAAAAACA
rnacentral:lncRNA from 1 species